GGAAACUUAGCUCACUCGGUAGAGCGGCUCGCUUACAACGAGCAGGUAGCCAGUUCGAUACUGGCAGUUUCCACCA
rnacentral:tRNA from 1 species